UACGAAGGGUGCAAGCGUUGUUCGGAAUUACUGGGCGUAAAGAGCGCGUAGGCGGUCUAUUAAGUCAGGCGUGAAAGUCCCGGGCUCAACCUGGGAAUUGCGUUUGAUACUGGUAGGCUUGAGAUUCAGAGAGGUGAGUGGAAUUCCUAGUGUAGCAGUGAAAUGCGUAGAUAUUAGGAGGAACAUCAGUGGCGAAGGCGGCUCACUGGCUGAAUACUGACGCUAAGGCGCGAAAGCGUGGGGAGCAAACAGG
rnacentral:rRNA from 1 species